CCUACGGGUGGCAGCAGUAGGGAAUAUUGCUCAAUGGGGGAAACCCUGAAGCAGCAACGCCGCGUGGAGGAUGAAGGUUUUCGGAUUGUAAACUCCUUUUGUUAGAGAAGAUAAUGACGGUAUCUAACGAAUAAGCACCGGCUAACUCCGUGACAGCAGCCGCGGUAAUACGGAGGGUGCAAGCGUUACUCGGAAUUACUGGGCGUAAAGAGCGCGUAGGCGGGAUAGCAAGUCAGAUGUGAAAUCCUAUGGCUUAACCAUAGAACUGCAUUUGAAACUGUUAUUCUAGAGUAUGGGAGAGGUAGGUGGAAUUCUUGGUGUAGGGGUAAAAUGCGUAGAGAUCAAGAGGAAUACUCAUUGCGAAGGCGACCUGCUAGAACAUAACUGACGCUGAUGCGCGAAAGCGUGGGGAGCAAACAGGAUUAGAUACCCCAGUAGUC
rnacentral:rRNA from 1 species